UACAGAGGGUGCGAGCGUUGUCCGGAAUCACUGGGCGUAAAGAGCUCGUAGGCGGCUUGUCGCGUCGGAUGUGAAAGCCCGGGGCUUAACUCCGGGUCUGCAUUCGAUACGGGCAGGCUAGAGUUCGGUAGGGGAGAUCGGAAUUCCUGGUGUAGCGGUGAAAUGCGCAGAUAUCAGGAGGAACACCGGUGGCGAAGGCGGAUCUCUGGGCCGAUACUGACGCUGAGGAGCGAAAGCGUGGGGAGCGAACAGG
rnacentral:rRNA from 1 species